GACGAACGCUGGCGGCGUGCUUAACACAUGCAAGUCGAACGAGUGGCGAACGGGUGAGUAACGCGUAGGUAACUACCUAUUAGAGGGGGAUAACUAUUGGAAACGAUAGCUAAUACCGCAUACUAGUAGAUGGACCUGCUUUGUAUUAGCUAGUAGGUAGGGUAAUGGCCUACCUAGGCAACGAUACAUAGCCGACCUGAGAGGGUGAUCGGCCAAAAUGGGACUGAUACACUGCCCAGAAUCCUACGGGAGGCAGCAGUAGGGAAUCUUCGGCAAUGGGGGGAACCCUGACCGAGCAACGCCGCGUGAGUGAAGAAGGUUUUCGGAUCGUAAAGCUCUGUUGGUAAGGAAGCGGUACUUAACCAGAAAGGGACGGCUAACUACGUGCCAGCAGCCGCGGUAAUUC
rnacentral:rRNA from 1 species